UACUUUUGAUACGGUUAGAUUUAAAACAGUGUAAAAUAUAAUUAUAUCUAGAGAGGCGUAGAAAAAUAUCCCCAGGUACUAGUGACCAGUAUAAAAUACACAACUGAAGAAAGAAAUAACAGACAAGAAGUCAACUGUUACAGAGAAUAAUCACAAAGAAAUAAAAGUAGGAAUAAUCGGCAUAUUUUGCCUGUUGGCCAUUCUGGCUGUCGGAUUUGUAGAAGGGCAAACAUGCGCCACGUAUUCCAACGGAUGCAGUGACCCUUUCAACAUGGCUUACAAACAACGUUUUAAACCUGCAUGUGAUAAACAUGAUGUCUGCUAUGCAUGUGGAAAAGUACUCAAUGUAAAAAAGAGCAGAUGCGACCUCAUCUUUAAAGCUAAUAUGGAGAGGUAUUGUUCUACUAUUACAAAUAAUUCUGAACAAGAUAAAUGCAAUGGCAACGCAACUGCAUACUAUGUGGGUGUCUCCUUGUUUGAAUGGAAGUCCUAUUUAAAGAAUUCUAAGAGUUGGUGCGAACAGUCGUGGGUUUCGCAAUGUAUAUAGACCGGCCUAACAAACAUGAUGAUUCUACGGCCUGUUUUUUUAUUAUAUACAAACUGGUAUAUAACACGACAAUGUCGUCUGAAUAUAUAACCAAAUGUAACUAAAUAAAGAUAAACUGUUCAAGUAGAACAGUACGUUUA